CCCUUUCCCUUCUUUAUAAUCUCUUUGGGAUAUAAUCCCAGUAGUAGAUCCAGCAGUGUUAUUACUGGGCUUAUAUCCCAAAGAGAUCUUAAAGGAGGGAAAGGAACCCACAUGAGCAGAAAUGUUUGUGGCAGCCCUCUUUGUAGCAGCAAGAAACUGGAAACUGAGUAGAUUCCCAUCAAUUGGAGAAUGGAUGAAUAAGUUAUGGUAUAUGGAUGUUAUGGAAUAUUAUUGUUCUGUAAAAAGUGAUCAGCAGGAUGAUUUCAGAAAGGUCUGGAGAGAUUUACAUGAACUGAUGCUAAGUGAAAUGAACAGAACCAGAAGAUCAUUGUACAUGGCAACAACAAGAUUAUACAAUGAUCAAUUCUGAUGGAUGUGGCUCUCUUCAACAAUGAGAUGAUUCAAAACAAUUCCAAUUGUUCAGUUAUGAAGAGAGCCAUCUACACCCAGAGAGAGGACUUUGGGAACUGAGUGUGGACCACAACAUAGCAUUCUCACUCCUUCUAUUGCUGUUUGCUUGUAUUUUGUUUUCUUUCCCAGUUUUUUUUUCUUCCUUCUCAAUCCAAUUUUUCUUAUGCAGAAAGAUAAUUGUAUAAACAUGUAUACAUAUAUUGGAUUUAAUGUAUAUUUAACAUAUUUAACAUGUAUUGGACGACCUGCCAUCUAGGGGAAGAGGAGGGGAGGAAAGAGGGAAUAAUUUGAUACAGAAGGCUUUGCAAGGGUCAAUGUUGAAAAGUUACCCAUGCAUAUGUUUUGUAAAUAAAAAUUUUUAAUUAAAAAAAAAGGCAAAUCAGACAUCAGUCUCCUGAUAAAGAAUGUGUGAUCUUAUACCAUUUUAAUUAGAAAAUUAGAUUCAAUUUUCAUUAUUUAAACUUCAGCUCUAGUAAUGUAAUGUGCUAUUUGCAUUGGUUUAGUCCAAUUGCUCUAAAAGAUUUUUACAUUAUUUUUUUAUUUUAAAAAGCUUACAUAUGUAAACAUGUGUACAUAUGUAUAUAUUUAUUAAAAUAUGUAUAUUAAUCCAUACAUAAUACAUAUUUAGAAAACCUGGAACACAUCUAAAUGUCAUUUGAAAACUGAAACCAGCACACUUCAUAUUUAGAGUUCAAAUGUGACAGGAAUAUGAGAUGAAACCAGUAAAUAUAGUAGGAGAGAAAGAAAUAAAGGAGAAAAUAACACUGCAAACUCAUAGCUAGUGACAAACUGUUGCAUAUAAACUUAUGCUUGAUCUGCUUAGACCACAUUGGAGGAUGGUGUUCCUUUCUAGGAAUCACAUUUUAGUAAGGAUAUUUGCAAGACAGAAUUCAACCAUCAAUCACUAGAAUGAUGAAGGGAAUAGAAAGCCUUUUAUAUAAGAAUCAGUUUAAGAAAUUGUAAAUGUUUAGCCAGGAGAAGAACAGAAAAGACACGACAGUUGUCUUCAGUUAGAAGACAAAAUUAAGAACAAUGAAUGAAGUGACAGAGAAGAUGGAUUAAGUAUUUAUUAAGUGCUUACUAUGUGCCAGGCACUAUGCUAAGCACUGGGAGUAAAAAUACAAGCAAAAAAAAGGCAGACUCUACCCUCAAGGAGCUUACAUUCUAAUGGCAGAAGACAACAUAUAAAAGAGAAAUAUGGUAAAAAAUAGAUUUCAGUUUGAUUUAAAGGAAAAGUUCUUAGCAAUUGAAGCUGUUCAAAAGUAGAAAGGACUGUCUUGAGAGGUUGGAGUAGUGAAUUUCUUCCAUACUGGGAACCAAGCGAGUGAUCACUUGGUACAGAUAUUUUAGAGAAAUUUCUGCUUGGGAACAAAUUGUAUCAAAUUAUCCCUGAUGUCCCUUUCAACUCAAAUUAUAUGACUGUAUAAUUUAAGGAUAUUUAUGAAUCUGAAAGAAAUUUCUGUAAAUCCACUUCAUUUCCAGUGUUAUUCUUCAGAGACUUUGCAUUGAUCUCCACUGUGGUCUGAGUUUGUAUAAGAAAGAUCUUUCUUGUCAUAGUGCUCCUUUACACUAUGAAUUAAUUAAUAACAUGUCUAUUUCAACUCAAUAACUCCCUAGGUUAAUUUAACUCAUACAGUUCUUCUCCAACAUGAAUUCUCUGAUGUUUAGUAAGAGAUGAGUUGCGGCUGAAGGCUCUCCCACAUUCAUUACAUUGAUAGGGUUUCUCUCCUGUAUGAAUUCUCUGGUGUUGAGUAAGAGAUGACCUGUCACUGAAGGCUUUCCCACAUUCAUUACAUUGAUAAGGUUUCUCUCCUGUAUGAAUUCUCUGAUGCUGAGUAAGGGCUCUGUGCUGUCUGAAGGCUUUUCCACAUUCGUUACAAUGAUAGGGUUUCUCUCCUGAAUGAACUCUCUGAUGUUGAGUAAGGGCUGUUCUUCUGCUAAAGGCUUUUCCACAUUCAUCACAAUGACAAGGUUUUUCUCCAGUAUGAAUUCUCUGAUGUUGGGUAAGGGCUGUACUUCGGCUAAAGGCUUUUCCACAUUCAAUACAUUCAUAGGGUUUUUCUCCAGUAUGAAUUCUCCAGUGUUUAUUAAGUGAUGAGGUGAUACUGAAGGCCUUCCCACAUUCAUUACAUUUAUAGGGUUUCUCACCAGUAUGAAUUCUCUGAUGCCAAGUAAGGUGUGUACGCUGGCUGAAAGUUUUCCCACAUUCACUACACUCAUAGGGUUUUUCUCCUGUAUGGAUUCUCCGAUGUUGGGUAAGGUAUGAAAUUUGGCUGAAGGCUUUCUCACAUUCACUACAUUCAUAGGGUUUCUCUCCAGUAUGAAUUCUCCGAUGUUGGGUAAGGUAUGAAAUCUGACUGAAGGUUUUUCCACAAUCAUCACAUUCAUAG
ensembl:lncRNA